GACGGAGGAUGCAAGCGUUAUCCGGAAUGAUUGGGCGUAAAGCGUCCGCAGGUGGCAGUUCACGUCUGCUGUCAAAGACCGGGGCUUAACUUCGGAAAGGCAGUGGAAACUGAACAGCUAGAGUAUGGUAGGGGCAGAGGGAAUUCCUGGUGUAGCGGUGAAAUGCGUAGAUAUCAGGAAGAACAUCGGUGGCGAAGGCGCUCUGCUGGACCAUAACUGACACUCAGGGACGAAAGCUAGGGGAGCGAAUGGG
rnacentral:rRNA from 1 species